UCGAAGGGUGAACCUGCGGAGGGAUCAUUA
rnacentral:rRNA from 1 species